AUACGAAGGGGGCAAGCGUUGUUCGGAAUCACUGGGCGUAAAGGGCGCGUAGGCGGACAUUUAAGUCAGGGGUGAAAUCCCGGGGCUCAACCCCGGAACUGCCCUUGAUACUGGGUGUCUUGAGACCGGAAGAGGUAAGUGGAACUGCGAGUGUAGAGGUGAAAUUCGUAGACAUUCGCAAGAACACCAGUGGCGAAGGCGGCUUACUGGUCCGGAUCUGACGCUGAGGCGCGAAAGCGUGGGGAGC
rnacentral:rRNA from 1 species